AGAAGAUUAGAUUCAUGCUUGAAAUAGGGGAGUUUGCUUGAUUUCUAAGGGGGCUACAGCCUGACCUCAAAGGAUCUGUGAUCAACCAAUUAGAGGGUGGGAAGAUGGGUCACAUCCCACUCUCUCCACCAUAGCCAAUCAUGGGGCUUGUCUCCAACACAGCACUUAGCCUGAUGCUCCAUAGAUACUCCCCUUCACGCCUCCCUCUCCAGUGUAAGCUCAAACCUCUCCCCAACCCUUUACACCUUAGGGUGGUAAUAAACUAAGGGCUCUCUGGGCACCUGCAGCAGCCUGAUGCCAUUAGGAAAAUUCCCAUACAGUCUUCUCCCCACUAGCCCUCCUGCAAGGCCACCCUCUCCUCCCAGUUUACCUCUUGUUUGCAGCAAGCCCUGAAUUCUUUGGAAGGCAGGCUGGGAGCUCUUGGGCAGUGACAAUCUCUUGGAACGCCUUCUUGCCCUGGAAUGUCCAACUACCCCCAUUGGCCUUCUCAACCUGGAAUUUCCCUCUGUAAGGCCCUGCUUCCUUCUUCCAAGGCUGUCAGCUCCAGCACUAAGCAGCUCAGAACACAUGGGACAUAUAACUCAUUAUCAAGUAGAAAAGUCUGCACAUCUCAGUGAUUCACAUGCUCUGCCCUGGUAGAGGAAGUACCUCCUCAGAAUCACCACACACUGAUGAAAUUGAAGGUCUGGUAAAAGAAUCGAAUUAAAAUAAUAAAAUGGAAUCUUCUAAUAUUGAUCUCUAUGACCAGUA